UUCUUGCAUAUGGUACUGAAGAAGGGUC
rnacentral:piRNA from 1 species